GGAGUCCAGGUCCCCAGCCCCUCCUCCCUCAGACCCAGGAGUCCAGGUCCCCAGCCCCUCCUCCGCCAGACCCAGGAGUCCAGGUGCUGAUUCUCUGAAAGUAUUCGAUCAACUGGGCUCUGGUUACCUGAAGCCCAAACCCCACACCUUGGACAGAACUUUGGCAGUGACUCCAAUUCCCUUCAGCCCCUGGCCCCUCACUGGUGACCUUUGACCUCACAAUGCCUCUUUCCCCAGCCCUGUGGGGAGGCAGUUGGGGCGUGAGGUUGAGGGAGACAGAGUGGCCUGACCUGUCCUGCCCUGUAAGCUGGGUGAGUUGGCACUGAUUCUGGAGGAUGGACGUGAAUGGCCGUGGUUACUGGUCGCUAGACUCUGGGAAAGGCUGCUGCUGUUUGACAUCGCACAGUCAGAAGGGAUCAUCUCAGCUAGCCUGCAGCAUCUAUAUCACUUUCACCAUGAGACACUGCCUCGAUUUCCAAUCCAGGUGCAGAGCUUCAGAUAGGAGUUUGGGAUCACAACAAUCCCCAUCUCCAUUUUUUUCAACUUUCAUUCCAAGAAAAUAGGACCUUAGGUCCAAUUCCCACAGCUGGGACUUGAGGUUCAACUCUGCGCUCACCUGUCCCCGGCCCUCGAGGCCUGGGCCCCUUUAUUCCAGCGCCCCCACAGGCUGAUGCCCCACCGCACCCCAGGGCUCCACUCCCCAAAUCACAACCUCCCCACCCCCACGCCUCCCUCAUUACAGGGUGCCCCUCCA